rnacentral:rRNA from 1 species
ACCAGACUCCUACGGGAGGCAGCAGUGGGGAAUAUUGCACAAUGGGGGAAACCCUGAUGCAGCAACGCCGCGUGAGUGAAGAAGUAUUUCGGUAUGUAAAGCCCUAUCAGCAGGGAAGAAAAUGACGGUACCUGAGUAAGAAGCCCCGGCUAACUACGUGCCAGCAGCCGCGGUAAUACGUAGGGGGCAAGCGUUAUCCGGAUUUACUGGGUGUAAAGGGAGCGUAGACGGCGAUACAAGUCAGAAGUGAAAGCCCGGGGCUCAACGCCGGGACUGCUUUUGAAACUGUGUGACUGGAGUGCAGGAGAGGUAAGCGGAAUUCCUGGUGUAGCGGUGAAAUGCGUAGAUAUCAGGAGGAACACCAGUGGCGAAGGCGGCUUACUGGACUGUAACUGACGUUGAGGCUCGAAAGCGUGGGGAGCAAACAGGAUUAGAUACCCUAGUAAU